AGGGAUGUGGCUCAGUUGGUAGAGUGCCUGCCUAGCAUGCAUGAAUCCCUGGGUUCAAUGUCCAGCACUA
rnacentral:tRNA from 1 species